rnacentral:rRNA from 1 species
UCGAGGAUCUUCGGCAAUGGGCGCAAGCCUGACCGAGCGACGCCGCGUGUGGGAUGAAGGCCUUCGGGUUGUAAACCACUGUCGGGGGGGAGGAAAGCCCGCAAGGGUCUGACCUAGCCCCGGAGGAAGCACGGGCUAAGUUCGUGCCAGCAGCCGCGGUAAGACGAACCGUGCGAACGUUGUUCGGAAUCACUGGGCUUAAAGGGCGCGUAGGCGGCUCAGCAAGUCUGGGGUGAAAUCGUUCGGCUUAACCGGACCAGUGCCUGGGAUACUGCUGAGCUUGAGCGGGGUAGGGGCGGACGGAACUUCCGGUGGAGCGGUGAAAUGCGUUGAUAUCGGAAGGAACGCCGGUGGCGAAAGCGGUCCGCUGGACCCCUCCUGACGCUGAGGCGCGAAAGCCAGGGGAGCGAACGGGAUUAGAUACCCCCGUAGUCC